CUACAAAGGAAGUUGACGGGGGCCCGCACAAGCGGUGGAGCAUGUGGUUAAUUCGACGCAACGCGAAGAACCUUACCAGGGCUUGACAUCCCCUGACCGCGUAUGAAAGUACGUUUUCACCCUCGGGUGACAGGGAGACAGGUGGUGCAUGGUUGUCGUCAGCUCGUGUCGUGAGAUGUUGGGUUAAGUCCCGCAACGAGCGCAACCCCUACGUUUAGUUGCUAACGCGUGAAGGCGAGCACUCUAGACGAACUGCCGUUGACAAAACGGAGGAAGGUGGGGAUGACGUCAAAUCAUCAUGCCCCUUAUGUUCUGGGCUACACACGUGCUACAAUGGCCGGUACAGACGGACGCAAAGCCGCGAGGUGGAGCAAAUCCUAAAAAGCCGGUCUCAGUUCGGAUUGCAGGCUGCAAUUCGCCUGCAUGAAGUCGGAAUCGCUAGUAAUCGCAGGUCAGCAUACUGCGGUGAAUACGUUCCCGGGCCUU
rnacentral:rRNA from 1 species